rnacentral:rRNA from 1 species
GAUGAACGCUGGCGGCGUGCCUAAUACAUGCAAGUCGAGCGAACAGACGAGGAGCUUGCUCCUCUGACGUUAUCGGCGGACGGGUGAGUAACACGUGGUUAACCUACCUAUACGACUGGGAUAACUUCGGGAAACCGGAGCUACUACCCGAUAAUAUAUUGAACCUCAUUGUUCAAUCGUUAAAGACGCUUUUUCUUUCACUUAUAGAUUGAUCCGGACCGCAUUAGCUAGUUGGUAGGGUAGCGGCUUACCAAGGCAACGAUUCGUAACCGACCUGAGAGGGUGGUCGGACACACUGGAAGAGAGACACGGCCGAGACUCCUACGGGGAGCAGCAGUAGAGAAUCUUCCGGGAUGGAGCAGAGCCUGACGGAGCAACGCCGCGUGAGGGAUGAAGGUCUUAGGAUCGUAAAACGAUGUUAUUAGGGAAGAACAAAUGUGUAAGUAACUAUGCACGUCUUGACGGUACCUAGUCAGAAAGCCACGGCUAACUCCGUG